AGGAUAGGGCGUCGUCAUCCAACGGUCCACUCCGCUUCUGGAAAAGAGAUCCGACCCGAACACCAUCCAUUUGGAGCUUGAAUUCGGCCUUUGGAAUUUGGACAAUUCAACAGAACACGUCAUGAAUCAUCGUUCAUACGUUCCUGUUCAAAUUUAAUUAACCAAUAAAUCCUUCAUUACAUUACCAUUAUUUUCAAUUUGAAAUACUAAUUAAGCUUUAAAACCAAUUUUGUUCAAUUAAAUCGUUUUCUUCCCUUCUGGUGCCGCUGUUUUUCAUUUGUGAUUAUUAGUUUGACGAUCCGUGGCCUUGCUCGGGAUCCCUAGAGAGAUCAAUCAAGUGUGAGAAAGGGAGCAUGUCUAUGUCGGAUUCCGAUUCUUCCUCUUAUGGCGGUGACCGCAAAAGUUUCAAGCAAAUUACCCGCGAGCGAUUAUUACAUGAAAUGAUGAGAUCAACAAGAACAGGGGAUUCCAAAUCAACUUGGAAGGUAUUAAUAAUGGACAAACUUACUGUAAAGAUAAUGUCUCACUCAUGCAAGAUGGCUGAUAUCACUGAUGAAGGUGUUUCAUUGGUUGAAGACAUAUACAAGCAACGGCAGCCAUUGCCCUCCAUGGAUGCUAUAUAUUUCAUCCAGCCAACCAGAGAGAAUGUAAUUAUGUUUUUGUCAGACAUGUCUGGAAGGACACCCUUAUACAGGAAGGCAUUUGUUUUCUUCAGUUCAACUAUUUCCAGAGAAUUAGUUACAGAGAUUAAGAAAGAUACAAAGGUGUUAACUAGAUUAGGCGCAUUGAGAGAGAUGAAUUUGGAAUAUUUUCCUAUAGAUAGCCAGGGUUUCAUCACAAAUAAUGACAGAGCAUUGGAGGAGCUAUUUGGGGAUGAAGAGAAUAAUCAUAAAGGUGUUGCAUGUUUGAAUGUGAUGGCAAAACGAAUUGCUACAGUUUUUGCUUCGUUAAGAGAAUUUCCUUCUGUUCGCUUCCGUGCUGCCAAAUCCCUAGACGCAACCACAAUGACUACUUUUCGUGAUCUUAUUCCUACGAAGCUUGCUGCUGGGGUUUGGGAUUGUCUAAUGAAAUAUAAAAAAAGUAUACCUAAUUUUCCUCAGACAGAGACCUGUGAAUUGCUCAUUCUUGACAGAUCUAUUGAUCAGAUUGCUCCGGUGAUACAUGAAUGGACUUAUGAUGCCAUGUGUCAUGAUUUGCUGAAUAUGGAAGGAAAUAAAUAUGUUCAUGAAGUUCCUGGUAAAUCUGGUGGUCCACCUGAGAGAAAAGAGGUUCUUUUGGAGGAUCAUGAUCCUGUAUGGGUUGAGCUUCGCCACGCACAUAUUGCAGAUGCUAGUGAGCGGCUGCAUGAGAAGAUGACCAACUUCAUUUCAAAGAACAAAGCUGCACAAAUCCAACAUGGUUCAAGUGGUGAAAUGUCGACAAGGGACUUACAAAAGAUGGUUCAAGCACUUCCACAAUACAGUGAACAAAUUGACAAACUCUCCCUCCAUGUAGAGAUUGCAGGAAAAAUUAACAGAAUAAUUAGGGAGUCAGGACUGCGGGAACUUGGCCAGCUGGAGCAAGAUCUUGUUUUUGGAGAUGCAACAACAAAAGAAGUGAUCAAAUUUUUUACUACGAACGAAGAUAUAAGUCGUGAGAAUAAGUUGCGCCUCUUAAUGAUUCUUGCUGCUGUUUAUCCCGAGAAAUUUGAAGGAGAAAAGGGUCUGAAUUUGAUGAAGGUAGCACGACUGACAGAAGAGGAUAUGAAUGUUGUACAUAAUUUGAGAAUGCUUGGGGGACAACCAGAAACCAAAAAAAGUUUGACCACUGCUUUCAGUCUUAAGUUCGAUAUCCAUAAGUUGUCAGAAGAAGCGUGCAGCAAGGAAAGAGCGUCCUGGUGAAGAAGAGAAAUGGCAACUAGCACGCUUUUUUCCCAUUAUAGAGGAACUGAUUGAAAAACUCACGAAAAAUGAAUUGUCAAAGGAAGAUUAUCCUUGUUUGAAUGACCCAAGUCCGUCCUACCACGGCACACCCGUUUCUGGGCAUGUAAACCAAAAUCCUCAUUCAAUGAGAUCAAGACGCACACCAACUUGGGCUCGACCGCGAGGUUCUGAUGAUGGAUAUUCAAGCGAUUCUGUACUACGACAUUCAUCGAGUGAUUUUAAGAAGAUGGGGCAACGAAUUUUUUUAUUCAUUGUUGGUGGAGCAACCAGAUCUGAGCUGAGGGUUUGUCACAAGCUUACCGGAAAGCUGAAGAGGGAAAUUAUUCUUGGCUCAUCAAGUCUCGAUGAUCCUGCAGAGUUUAUCUCGAAAUUAAAGAUGAUAACGACGCACGAGCUUUCAUUAGAUGAUAUCCAGAUAUGAUGUUAAGGACUGUAGAACUAGAAAAUGCCUUAUGCUCACUUGUAAAAUAUAUUUGUGUUGUAAUCAAAUAGUUUAAUCAUCUUUAUAUUACAAAUUCUGGAUAUUCGAUUCCUUGUAAAAAGCCUAACCUGAAUAAUCUUAGUUGAUUACUAACCGGAAUGAACUUUAUAGUUCUUGGCGAACAGAGAUUGUCUCCCCUCCA